UCUUGUAGGUGUCCGAGAAGUUUUUCCCUCAGUUAGCCGUUGGAUUUCAGGACCCUCGCGUCCACCUUCAUGUCGGUGAUGCUACUGAAUUCUUAAGGCUUGCACCUAAAGGGAAGUAUGAUGCUGUAAUUGUUGAUUCGUCAGACCCUGUCGGUCCUGCCCAAGAGCUUGUAGAGAAGCUAUUUUUUGAGACAAUAGCUAGAGCAUUUAUGCCUGGUGGUGUUCUCUGUAACAUGACAGAGAGCAUGUGGCUCCACACGCAUCUUAUUCAAGAUAUGAUCUCUGUUUGCCGUCAAACAUUCAAGGGGUCUGUCAAUUAUGCUUGGGCGAGUGUUCCUACGUAUCCAAGGAAUACUUUCCCUUUCUCGCAUUCGUCUACUCUCG